AGCAAAGCUUGCUGGGAAGCAGGAUAAAAGACAGGUCCUGUUCAUCAGUAGGAAGAGAGGCUAGGGAGGGAGCAGGAGGUGGGGUAGAGGUUUCUCAUUCUGAGAGCUGGGGGAAGAGAGAACCUGGUGAACAGCUACAGAGAGCUAGGCAAGCUGGGGAGUGGUGAUGCAUUAAUAGAGGUGAAUCUGAAGAUUUAGAUAGCCACAAGUUGGUGUGAGAUCAGUGGUGUGACCUUGAAGCCUGAUGUCUGCACUUGCUCACUUUAGGGGCUUCAAGUUAAGGCUUCCAGAGGUAGAGAGGAAGUUGCACCCCAUGCAUUAGGGGAAUGACUGUGUCCCAGGAAGGCCAUGGAUCUGUGUUAUACUUGGACUUUGUUACCCAGGAAGAAGGUGGCUUUUGUUCUGGUUAAAAGGCCACAUCACCCAACCAGCCAGAGGGAAACCUGCUGCUAUAAAGGUUCCUUUAAGAAAGAUGAACGUGUAGAAAUGUCAGCUGUUGCUAGUUCUCCAUAGUCAGUGAAGUUGCUUGCCCUCUGCAGAUGGCCAAUUACAUCUGAUAACACAACAGGAACCAACCAGGAAGGAUCAAUUGGACUUGGGAAUUAAAUCAGCAGUAGCAUAGGCAAGACCCAUUUGAAAACCAGCUGGGCUACACAGGAUAAGAGAGGUCAUCAGAAAUGCUCCAGGAUUCUCCCUGUUCUCAUCACUCAUCAACUCCAGUUCCAGAGCCUCACAAAACACCCUUAGAACUUGCUGAACAGAAAGUUCUGAAGAACAGAUCCAGCUUCAGAUGAAGCUUUGUUAAGACAGACAUGAAAGCAGGAGGGAGAAGCAAUUGCAGAGUCGCUAACACGUAUGUAGCAAUGGCCCUGUGUCCUGAAAGAUGCCAGUUCUGUAUUGGGGGCGGGGAGGUAAGAUGUUUAUUGUUUCACAAACUCUAAUUAUCUGUCAGAUAUCUAGCUGGUGUAAACUGGCAUAGCACCUUUGACUUCAGUGGAGCUAUGCCGAUGCACCCUGUCUCUGGUGCUCACCGUAUAGUGAUAAUAAAUGUUUUA